UCUUCCUUGCUGAGCAGCCUUUCAGGUUAUGUCGCUAUAGGACUCAUUUUACUGUGGAUAUAACUACUUUUGUACCGGUUUCCUCCAGCAUCUUCACAUGGUUCUUUGCCGUUGUAUUGGGAUUGAUUCGAAUUUUUCGCACCAAAGUACGUUCAUCUCUAGGAGACAGAACACGUCUCCUUCCUGAGCGGUAUGACGGCUGCGUGGUCCCGUGUUUAUACUUGCAUACUAUUGUUUGUACAGAUGAACGUGGUACCUUCAGGUGUUGGAAAAUUGCUCCCAAGGAUGAACUAGACUUAUUUUUCUGAGAUCUUGGCUGAUUUCUUUUGAUGUUCCCAUGAUGUCAAGCAAAUAGGCACUGAGUUUGAAGGUAGGCCUUGAAAUACAUCCACAGGUAUACGUCCAAUUGACUCUGGCUAAUUGACAUCAUUUAUCAGAAGCUUGUAAAGCCAUGACAUUUUCUGGAAUUUUCCAAGCUGUUUAAAGGUACAGUCAACUUAGUGUAUGCGAACUUCUGACCCACAGGAAUUGGGAUACAGUGAAAUAAUCUGUCUGUAAACAAUUGUUGGAAAAAUUACUUGGAUCAUGCACAAAGUAGAUGUCUUAACCGACUUGCCUAACCUAUAGUUUGUUAACAGGAAAUUUGUGGAAUGGUUGAAAAAUGAGGUUUAAUGACUCCAACCUAAGUGUAUGUAAACCUCCGACUUCAAUUGUACAUAUUUGAGCCUCUAGCUCUAUCAAAGCAAGAAACAGCAUUUCACUGUUGUCCUCAGUGUCUGUCUGUCUCUGUCUCGGUCGGUCUGUCUAAGAGUUUGCUGUAGAGAAUGGUGUGGACAGGGAGAGGAUUGUUAAGGACCUGAAGCAGAUGUCCCAGAAGGAGAGAAUUAGCUGCUGAGGAAGGAAUCACCAGAGCUAUCGGAGCUCAUUCAGGACUUGAAGUCCAAGAGCUGAACGACGAGCUACAGGGCCUUUUGGAAAUGGUCAAAGAUGGACGCAUCCCACCGGGAAAGGGUGCCAACUACCACACGACCAAACAGCAGCGUUAUCUAAAUUAAGUAUAUAUUUGAUUUGUAACAUAAAUCGCAUAAACAAUGCCAUUGAGAAUUGACUCACUUAUUGUUGUUUCUCUCCUGAGUUACUGCACAAACAUUAGUUUCUACCUCAUCCUGAAAGCAAAGCAUAUUCCCGCACACAACCACCCAGUGAUUGAAAGACUGAUUUACAGGAAUCUGAUAAAUUACAUGGGUGAGGUAGAUGCUUGGCUUGCCCCACAGCUGCGCCAGUUGCUUUCUGCAGGCCAGUAUGAGAUGGCUGCUAUGAAGCCAGGGAGUAGCAAGCAGAGCACCAACAACAAGAUGUCUGAAGAGGUUGUGGCUGAACCACCAUACUCUGACUUGGAUGAAGAGGCUGCCCUGCACUUCUACAGAGGAAUGGAGAGGCUGAAACUGAAUAGGACCUACAGGCUGAGGUGAAGGAUGAAGAGGAGUUGGAUCCAGAUACCAAGAGACGCAUUACCCACCAGGUACAGUGUCUCACCCUCUUGAGUAUUAUCCUUUCAACAUGUAGAAAUUAGAUACACACAAGUAUACAGCAGUAAUUAUUGAUUGUACAGCUUAGCCUUCAUGUACAAUAUUUACUUGUUACCAUGUCUCUUGUUUCCAUACUCAUUGUACAAAGCACAAUAUUAAGAGAACAUUUUCACCCAGUACUUCAAAUCAUGACCUUCAUCAGAUUAUUCUAGUACUUUAUAUGUUAGAGUAUUCCCUUCCCGGUUUAAACCUUUUGUCUAAUUUGUACAUGCUGCUCGAUCCUUUCCGCUAUUGGCCAAGAACAAAGGGUUUACACCGAAGAGGAAGACUGACCGCAAUCCCAGAGUCAAACAGAGAGAAUUUCAGACGAGCCAAGAUCCGCAUAAAGGGACAAGUUUGUAGACUACAUUUGAAACUUGAAGUUGCAGUGUAUAAAAUGUAUACAAAUCCAAUGUAUGAUAAGUGUUUUGCAGGCAUUACUUCCACCUCCUGCAGGCACAUCUUUCAGGACCUCUGAGGGGUAUACUACAAAGCAGAACCAAUGAGUUAGCCAGCUUACUUUGAUUAACAACCAGAAAUAACUGUUGAUUUUCUGAAUCAUUUAGAAAAAUAAACUUAGGUUGAGUUAAUUAGACCAUAGCCCAUUGCAAGCUUAGUUAUUUAUUAGUUCAGAAUAUUGAGGCAAGUUAUCUGGCUAACUCAUUGAUCCUGCUUUGUAGUGUGUAUGCUGAUAUGAUAUACAGUAUUUGAUAGCAAAAUUGACAACUUGUAUAAUUUAACUAGUGUCAAUUAUGGAUCAAAUUGAAUUCCAA